rnacentral:rRNA from 1 species
CCUACGGGAGGCAGCAGUGAGGAAUAUUGGUCAAUGGCCGGGAGGCUGAACCAGCCAAGUCGCGUGAGGGAAGACGGCCCUACGGGUUGUAAACCUCUUUUGUCAGGGAGCAAGGUGCAGGUCGGGACCUGCUGUGAGAGUACCUGAAGAAAAAGCAUCGGCUAACUCCGUGCCAGCAGCCGCGGUAAUACGGGGGAUGCGAGCGUUAUCCGGAUUUAUUGGGGUUAAAGGGUGCGCAGGCGGAGGGACAAGUCAGCGGUAAAACCGCGGGGCUCAACCCCGCUCCGCCGUUGAAACUGUGACCCUUGAGUGCGCGAAGGGUAGGCGGAAUGCGUGGUGUAGCGGUGAAAUGCAUAGAUAUCACGCAGAACUCCGAUCGCGAAGGCAGCCUACCGGCGCGCAACUGACGCUCAUGCACGAAAGCGUGGGUAUCGAACAGGAUUAGAUACCCUUGUAGUC